AAAAAUAGAAGAGGAUCUCCGAAGCAAACUAACCAUUUUUUUUGUGGCUUCAUAGAAACCAAACUGUGUUUAGAGAGGGAUCGAAGGAUGCAACAAAGUUUUUUGAUCUAGCUCAGUUGCAUUCUCGGAAUUGGUUGAAGGCAAGCUCCAAAAGCUUUCAUUGUUCUCUAUAUGAGUGGAUUGUGAACCCAACCUAUUGCCUUCGGAAUUUAUAGCUGUAUGUUUUGUGACCCUCUUCUGUAGUUGGUUGCGGGUUGCAGCAAUUUUGAGACUGCGUUGUCAAUUUGAGACUUGGUUGCCGCUGAUUCAAUUAGGAUUUUGGAUGUCUUGUUUGCUUCGUGGUGGGGAUCCUUGCCGUCUGCUGGUUUUGUUCUGUUAGAAGCAGUAGCAGGACUUCUCUUUUGUUCCCUUCUCCUUUUCUUUUCUCCUAUGUACUGGCUUCUUUGUGCAAGGUUGGAGGACCUCUAGUAUCCCCUUUUGUUAAAUCUUUUUCUUAUAAAAAAACAAUGAAGGAUACACAUCAGCAAAAAUUAUAAAAUGAAAAUUUACAUAGAGAAAACCAAAUGAAAAUGCUUAAAUAGAGGAAACCAAAUUUACAGGAUAAUAUCUUAUGAUUCAUGUGAUUGUUUUGAAUGUGGUUGGAAGCUCUUAUUUUAAUGGUUGGAAGCUUCGAUUCGGUGGUCGCACGCUCUGAUUCACCCCGUUCUGGUGGUAAGUGGGCUAUCGCUCCGAUCGGGAUGAAACCUUUGAUCUGUGGGAGAAGGUUUAGAAUGGGUGGGGAAAGGGAGAAAUGAGGAGUCUUGGAGGUGAGAAAGGGGUGGUGGUCGCUGCUGAAAAGAGAGAAUGCAUAGAAGGAGAGUGAGGUAGUGGCCACCAUUGGGUUUGGG
rnacentral:lncRNA from 1 species